UACGGAGGGUGCAAGCGUUAAUCGGAAUUACUGGGCGUAAAGCGUGCGUAGGCGGUUGCGCAAGACAGGUGUGAAAUCCCCGGGCUUAACCUGGGAAUUGCACUUGUGACUGUGCGGCUGGAGUGCGGCAGAGGGGGAUGGAAUUCGCGUGUAGCAGUGAAAUGCGUAGAUAUGCGGAGGAACACCGAUGGCGAAGGCAGUCCCCUGGGCCUGCACUGACGCUCAUGCACGAAAGCGUGGGGAGCAAACAGG
rnacentral:rRNA from 1 species